UAUGUCCUACGGGGGGCAGCAGUGGGGAAUAUUGCACAAUGGGGGAAACCCUGAUGCAGCGACGCCGCGUGAGUGAAGAAGUAUUUCGGUACGUAAAGCUCUAUCAGCAGGGAAGAAAAUGACGGUACCUGACUAAGAAGCCCCGGCUAACUACGUGCCAGCAGCCGCGGUAAUACGUAGGGGGCAAGCGUUAUCCGGAUUUACUGGGUGUAAAGGGAGCGUAGACGGCUGUGCAAGUCUGAAGUGAAAGCCCGUGGCUCAACCGCGGAACUGCUUUGUAAACUGUAGAGCUUG
rnacentral:rRNA from 1 species